rnacentral:rRNA from 1 species
AUGGCAUGGCUUAGUUAGGAGAAGAUGAUGCUCCCCAAAGCGAUGGGUGGUAUGGGGUUUAGAGAUAUGAGAGCAAUUAAUCGGGCCUUGUGAGCUAAACAAGCUUGGUGCUUGUUAGACCCACAAUGUUUAUGUGCUUUGCUAUUGCAGGCAAAGUACUACCCAAACGGAAAUCUUUUGGAUAUAGUAUUUCCAACUAACACGUCUGUAGUCUGGAAGGGUAUUAUACAUGGACUUGACCUUGUGAAGCAAGGCAUUAUAUGGAGGGUGGAAGAUGGAUCAUUAAUAAAGACCUAGCAGGACCCUUGGAUACCGCGAGGCCACGACUUGUGACCCGUCACACCAAAAUGCAACUGCAGGUACAAUAGGGUUGCAGAUUUCUUGGAUGAUCACGAAGCAUGGAAUACACAGAGAUUGUGGGAAUUUUGGGAUAUGGACGUUCGAGAGAUUGUCAAAAUAAGAACUUCCCCAAGUCUCAGGCGGGAUUUCUUAGCAUGGUUCCCAGAGAAGAGUGGUCGUUUUACCAUGAAGAGUGCCUACCGACUAGCUACCAACAAUUCGAACAGUUUGGUUGCAGGAGGUGCCUUAAGUGAUAACCUGUCCAGUGUUGAGCCGGUUUGGCAGUGUAUUUGGACCUCGCAUGUACCAUAGAAGAUGAAAAUCCUCGCUUGGAAAACAUUAAUACGAGCUCUAGGCAUGAACGUGUGCAAGAAAUAUAGGCAUAUCUCAAGGAGAGGUGCAUGCCCAUUGUGCGUCUGGGAGGAAGAAUCAAGCUUCCAUGCACUAGUUGCAUGUGAUCAUGUACGUGUGUCGUGGGAUCUUAUGAGAGGGAUCUGGCUACUACUUGAUAAAUCUUUGAUCAUCGAUACUAGAAGAGAAUGGUUGUUGAACCUACUAGCAAAGUCAUGA